AGAGUUUGAUCCUGGCUCAGGACGAACGCUGGCGGCAUGCCUAACACAUGCAAGUCGAACGGAGAAUUUAUUUCGGUAAAUUCUUAGUGGCGAACGGGUGAGUAACGCGUAGGCAACCUGCCCUUUAGAUGGGGACAACAUCCCGAAAGGGGUGCUAAUACCGAAUGUGACGGAACUUCCGCAUGGAAGCUCCGUGAAAGAUGGCCUCUACAUGUAAGCUAUCGCUAAAGGAUGGGCCUGCGUCUGAUUAGCUAGUUGGUGAGGUAACGGCUCACCAAGGCGACGAUCAGUAGCCGGUCUGAGAGGAUGAACGGCCACAUUGGGACUGAGACACGGCCCAGACUCCUACGGGAGGCAGCAGUGGGGAAUCUUCCGCAAUGGGCGAAAGCCUGACGGAGCAAUGCCGCGUGAGUGAAGAAGGUCUUCGGACCGUAAAGCUCUGUUGUUCAUGACGAACGUGCAGGGGGUGAAUAAUUUCCUGUAAUGACGGUAGUGAACGAGGAAGCCACGGCUAACUACGUGCCAGCAGCCGCGGUAAUACGUAGGUGGCGAGCGUUGUCCGGAAUUAUUGGGCGUAAAGAGCAUGUAGGCGGUUUUUUAAGUCUGGAGUGAAAAUGCGGGGCUCAACCCCGUAUGGCUUUGGAUACUGGAAGACUUGAGUGCAGGAGAGGAAAGGGGAAUUCCCAGUGUAGCGGUGAAAUGCGUAGAUAUUGGGAGGAACACCAGUGGCGAAGGCGCCUUUCUGGACUGUGUCUGACGCUGAGAUGCGAAAGCCAGGGUAGCGAACGGGAUUAGAUACCCCGGUAGUCCUGGCCGUAAACGAUGGGUACUAGGUGUAGGAGGUAUCGACCCCUUCUGUGCCGGAGUUAACGCAAUAAGUACCCCGCCUGGGGAGUACGGCCGCAAGGCUGAAACUCAA
rnacentral:rRNA from 1 species